CGUAUCAGUGCCCUGUAUAUCACAGGGUUAAAAGAGAAUCAGGUGAAAAUCCUGAGCGAGCCGGUCACUGUAAACAGGGAGUAAUCUGCAAUAUGUCAUUGGCAUCAUGCUGAGAAGACGCAGAAAGCGACAAUCUGUAAGCCAGGAAACCUGCUGAUAU
rnacentral:ncRNA from 1 species